ACAAGCUUCUUGGGGAAAUUCUCCGGACGCAAGGGUUAGAGAGUAACCGUACCGAAAGGUAAUCCGAUAUUAUGAUGCCGCUCCUUUGCGACGACAAUUCCUCCUUUUCGGAGGAAAAAGAGCAUGUAGAGUCGGCCUUAUACCGCCGUCAUAGCAAAGUUAUGCCAUCCAAUAACACAACGGAGAUUA
rnacentral:RNase_MRP_RNA from 1 species